GCCCGGGUGGCGUAAUCGGUAAACGCGGCAGCUUGAGGAGCUGUGCCCUUUUGGGCGUGCGGGUUCAAGUCCCGCUCCGGGCA
rnacentral:tRNA from 1 species